GUGGGGAAUAUUGGACAAUGGGGGGAACCCUGAUCCAGCCAUGCCGCGUGUGUGAAGAAGGCCUUUUGGUUGUAAAGCACUUUAAGCGAGGAGGAGGCUACUCUAGUUAAUACCUAGGGAUAGUGGACGUUACUCGCAGAAUAAGCACCGGCUAACUCUGUGCCAGCAGCCGCGGUAAUACAGAGGGUGCGAGCGUUAAUCGGAUUUACUGGGCGUAAAGCGUGCGUAGGCGGCUUUUUAAGUCGGAUGUGAAAUCCCUGAGCUUAACUUAGGAAUUGCAUUCGAUACUGGGAAGCUAGAGUAUGGGAGAGGAUGGUAGAAUUCCAGGUGUAGCGGUGAAAUGCGUAGAGAUCUGGAGGAAUACCGAUGGCGAAGGCAGCCAUCUGGCCUAAUACUGACGCUGAGGUACGAAAGCAUGGGGAGCAAACAGGAUUAGAAACCCGUGUAGUCC
rnacentral:rRNA from 2 species